rnacentral:rRNA from 1 species
UAGGGAAUCUUCGGCAAUGGGGGGAACCCUGACCGAGCAACGCCGCGUGAGUGAAGAAGGUUUUCGGAUCGUAAAGCUCUGUUGUUAAGGAAGAACGAGUGUGAGAAUGGAAAGUUCAUGCUGUGACGGUACUUAACCAGAAAGGGACGGCUAACUACGUGCCAGCAGCCGCGGUAAUACGUAGGUCCCGAGCGUUGUCCGGAUUUAUUGGGCGUAAAGCGAGCGCAGGCGGUUAGAAAAGUCUGAAGUGAAAGGCAGUGGCUCAACCAUUGUAGGCUUUGGGAACUGUUUAACUUGAGUGCAGAAGGGGGGAGUGGAAUUCCAUGUGUAGCGGUGAAAUGCGUAGAUAUAUGGAGGAACACCGGUGGCGAAAGCGGCUCUCUGGUCUGUAACUGACGCUGAGGCUCGAAAGCGUGGGGAGCGAACAGG